rnacentral:rRNA from 2 species
AAAUUGAAGAGUUUGAUCAUGGCUCAGAUUGAACGCUGGCGGCAGGCCUAACACAUGCAAGUCGAACGGUAACAGGAAGCAGCUUGCUGCUUUGCUGACGAGUGGCGGACGGGUGAGUAAUGUCUGGGAAACUGCCUGAUGGAGGGGGAUAACUACUGGAAACGGUGGCUAAUACCGCAUAACGUCGCAAGACCAAAGAGGGGGACCUUCGGGCCUCUUGCCAUCAGAUGUGCCCAGAUGGGAUUAGCUUGUUGGUGAGGUAACGGCUCACCAAGGCGACGAUCCCUAGCUGGUCUGAGAGGAUGACCAGCCACACUGGAACUGAGACACGGUCCAGACUCCUACGGGAGGCAGCAGUGGGGAAUAUUGCACAAUGGGCGCAAGCCUGAUGCAGCCAUGCCGCGUGUAUGAAGAAGGCCUUCGGGUUGUAAAGUACUUUCAGCGGGGAGGAAGGUGUUGUGGUUAAUAACCACAGCAAUUGACGUUACCCGCAGAAGAAGCACCGGCUAA